CCAGACUCCUACGGGAGGCAGCAGUGAGGAAUAUUGGUCAAUGGGCGCGAGCCUGAACCAGCCAAGUCGCGUGAGGGAAGACGGUCCUAUGGAUUGUAAACCUCUUUUGUCGGGGAGCAAAGCGAGUCACGUGUGACUCAUUGAGAGUACCCGAAGAAAAAGCAUCGGCUAACUCCGUGCCAGCAGCCGCGGUAAUACGGAGGAUGCGAGCGUUAUCCGGAUUUAUUGGGUUUAAAGGGUGCGCAGGCGGAAUGUCAAGUCAGCGGUAAAAUUUCGGGGCUCAACCCCGUCGUGCCGUUGAAACUGGCGUUCUUGAGUGAGCGAGAAGUAUGCGGAAUGCGUGGUGUAGCGGUGAAAUGCAUAGAUAUCACGCAGAACUCCGAUUGCGAAGGCAGCAUACCGGCGCUCAACUGACGCUCAUGCACGAAAGCGUGGGUAUCGAACAGGAUUAGAUACCCCGGUACC
rnacentral:rRNA from 1 species